rnacentral:rRNA from 1 species
AUUGAACGCUGGCGGCAGGCCUAACACAUGCAAGUCGAACGAGUGGCGGACGGGUGAGUAAUGUCUGGGAAACUGCCUGAUGGCGGGGGAUAACUACUGGAAACGGUAGCUAAUACCGCAUACCAUCGGAUGUGCCCAUAUGGGAUUAGCUAGUAGGUGGGGUAAAGGCUCACCUAGGCGACGAUCCCUAGCUGGUCUGAGAGGAUGACCAGCCACACUGGAACUGAGACACGGUCCAGACUCCUACGGGAGGCAGCAGUGGGGAAUAUUGGACAAUGGGCGAAAGCCUGAUGCAGCCAUGCCGCGUGUAUGAAGAAGGCCUUCGGGUUGUAAAGUACUUUCAGCGGGGAGGCGUUACCCGCAGAAGAAGCACCGGCUAACUCCGUGCCAGCAGCCGCGGUAAUAC